rnacentral:rRNA from 1 species
GACGAACGCUGGCGGCGUGCUUAACACAUGCAAGUCGAACGGAAAGGCCCUGCUUUUGUGGGGUGCUCGAGUGGCGAACGGGUGAGUAACACGUGAGUAACCUGCCCUUGACUUUGGGAUAACUUCAGGAAACUGGGGCUAAUACCGGAUAGGAGCUCCUGCUGCAUGGUGGGGGUUGGAAAGUUUCGGCGGUUGGGGAUGGACUCGCGGCUUAUCAGCUUGUUGGUGGGGUAGUGGCUUACCAAGGCUUUGACGGGUAGCCGGCCUGAGAGGGUGACCGGCAAAUUUGGGCUGGGAAUGCGACCAGGCCUCCUAGGGGAGGCGGGGGGGGGGAAGGUUACAGAAGGGGAGGGGGCAAAAUGCGGCACGGCGGGGUGGGGGGGGCGGGCCUGCGGGUUGGAACCCACUUUCGCCGGAGACGAGGGGGGAGUGAGGGUAGGGGAAAAAGAAGCCCCGGCUAACUACGUG